rnacentral:lncRNA from 1 species
UUCCAGCUGACUUCACAGGACUGUUGGAUGGGUCAAGUAAGAGAGUGGCUGUAAAAUGUUUGUGAAGGAUAAAGGACUCACAGCCAUAAGGGAUUCUGCCCUUGUUUGCAUUUUUUUUUUUUUUUUUCUGAGAUGGAGUCUUGCUCUGUCGCCUAGGCUAGAGUACAGUGGCAUGAUCUUGACUCACUGCAACCUCCGUCUCCCAGGUUCAAGCGAUUCUCCUGCCUUAGCCUCUUGAGUAGCUGGGAUUACAGGCGUGCACCACCACGCCCAGCUAAUUUUUGUAUUUUUAGUAGAUAUGGGGUUUUACCAUGUUGGCCAGACUGGUCUCGAACUCCUGACCUCAAGUGACCCACCCUCCUCGGCCUCCCAAAGUGCUGGAAUUACAGGCAUGAGACACCAUGCCUGGCCCCUUGUUUGCUUUUAUUGGGAAAAGCAGGACCUAGGAACUUUGUUCUGUGUCCUGACGAUAUACAAGUCUGGACCAUUUGUAAGUCCCAACAUCCGGGCUCUGUACCACUGUCUUACUUGUAACUUUAUUCUGUUGGUUAUUGUUCU